CUGGUCUUAAGAAAAUACAAGUGAAUCCGUAUAAAUAAUCGGAGACUCUUCAACAGUUUCUCUGACCUCCAACAAAAUUCAGAUUUUUGAACUUUCCCACUUUGGAGUCUUUUUUUGUUCACACCACUCAUAAAUCUUUGGAUAUGGCGUCGAGUCAGUGGACAAGGUCGGAGGAUAAGAUGUUCGAGCAUGCUUUGGUGCUUUUCCCUGAAGGUUCUCCUAACCGGUGGGAGAUUAUAGCCGACCAGCUACAGAAAUCUGCUGGUGAAGUUAGGGAGCAUUACGAGGCCUUGGUGCAUGAUGUCAUCGAGAUCGAGUCUGGCAGAGUCCAUGUCCCGCAUUAUAUGGAUGACUCGGCGGUUCAGAUCUCGUUUGAGUCUAAACACGGAGAGAACGAGCGGAAAAGAGGAACUCCUUGGUCGGAAAGCGAACACAAGCUGUUUCUGGUCGGAUUAAAGAGAUAUGGUAAAGGAGAUUGGAGGAGCAUAUCUAGGAACGUGGUGGUAACGAGGACACCCACGCAAGUCGCUAGUCAUGCUCAGAAAUAUUUCCUUAGACAGAACUCGGGGAAGAAAGAGAGGAAAAGGUCGAGCAUACACGACAUAACUACGGUCGAUACUAGCUUAGCCAUGCAUGGUUCCAACAUGGACUGGAAUGGGCAGCAUGAUAGCCCUGUUCAGCCUCAGCAGCAACAGAUCAUGUCUGAGUUUGGUCAGCAAUUAACACCGGGUGGCCAUUUUGAGGAUUUCAGUUUUCAGAUGUGAUGAAAGAAGGAAAUGAAAUUGCCGAUGUUUUAGUUUGUUAGCGUUUUACACAUUUUGUUGUGAAUAGGAAAGCAAUAACAUUGGGUAUUUGCUGAUGAAGAUGGUAAUGAAAGACUAAAAUAGCGAGGAAAGAUUUUUGCAACACGCAAAUACGUUUGAUGGUAGUGCGAGUGAUGAACUCAAGGCUUCUUUUCCUCAGGUUUCUGCGUAAGAUAGUGAAAGCAAACAAUCAGCGAA